rnacentral:sRNA from 1 species
UCAAUAAUCGUUCCCUCGUCUCUAAAAAC